GGUCUUUUGAAUUUAAUUUAAGGUCUGACCUGCCCAGUGAUGAAUUUAACGGCCGCGGUAUAUUGACCGUGCAAAGGUAGCAUAAUCAUUAGUCUUUUAAUAGAGGGCUGGAAUGAAUGGUUUAACGAGGAACUAGCUGUCUCAUUUUAUUUGUUUUAGAAUUUAAUUUUUUAGUUAAAAAGCUAAAAUUUUAUUGGAAGACGAGAAGACCCUAUAGAUCUUUAUAUAAUUUUAUUUAUUUAUUUAUAUAUUAAUGUAAUUAUAUUUAAAUUAUAUUUUGUUGGGGUGACAAAAAUAUAUAAUUAACUUUUUCAUUUAUUUACCAUUUAUAUAUGAGUAUUAGAUCCAUUUUUAGUGAUUGUUAGAAUAAGUUACCUUAGGGAUAACAGCGUAAUCCUCCUCCAGAGUUCAUAUUUACAGGAGGGCUUGCGACCUCGAUGUUGGAUUAAGAUAAUAAUUAGGUGUAGCCGCUUAAUGUAUAGGUCUGUUCGACCUUUAAAUUCUU
rnacentral:rRNA from 1 species